rnacentral:rRNA from 1 species
UACGUAGGGUGCAAGCGUUGUCCGGAAUUAUUGGGUGUAAAGAGCUCGUAGGCGGUCUGUUGCGUCGGCUGUGAAAACCCGGGGCUCAACUCCGGGCCUGCAGCCGAUACGGGCAGACUAGAGUUCGGCAGGGGAGACUGGAAUUCCUGGUGUAGCGGUGAAAUGCGCAGAUAUCAGGAGGAACACCGGUGGCGAAGGCGGGUCUCUGGGCCGAUACUGACGCUGAGGAGCGAAAGCGUGGGGAGCGAACAGG